GUGACUUUGAUGCAUCAGCUUGCUCUUUUUAUAACAUGACAAUGGAUAUUGUGUCUAAACUGGGUUUUAUCUUCAUGUUUGCUCUCACAGAGUUCUGUUGGUGUCAAACACUGACUGAGUCUGAGUCAGUGGUCAUUAAACCUGGAGGAUCUCACAGACUCACCUGUACAGUCUCUGGAUUUAGUGGUGACCCGAGCUUAGCUUGGAUCAGACAGACUGCAGGAGGAGGUCUGGAGUGGCUGGCAUACAUCUCAUCUGGUGGUGGUACUAUAUACUACUCUCAGUCUGUUCAGGGACGCUUCACCAUCUCCAGAGACAACAGCAAGAAACAGAUGUAUCUGCAGAUGAAUAAUAUGAAGAAUGAAGACACUGCUGUAUAUUAUUGUGCAAGACAGACACAGUGAUGAAUACAGCUACAGCACUGCACAAAAUAAACUAUUUGUAUGUGCCUGUAUUUACUAAACU